rnacentral:lncRNA from 1 species
GGUCUGGUGCUCACUGUGUGUAAUCGUGACUGCGGGGACCCGCCUAUCGGAGUAAAUAUGUAAAAGGAGGUGAAGAGGUGGGCCUGAUCCCUGGCCCGAGGAGUGAAUUCAGAGUGCAGCUUACUGUGUGUGCUGGUGUCACUUGACCCUCUCCACAUUACCCCAGGGGCAUCAGGACUUGAAGAACUGGCCCAAAAAUGCUGCUACUCUGGCUACUACCAUUGCUGUGAGUUAAAAACUGUCCUUUGUCUCUGACCCAGGAGUUCUAUGCCUUCUACCAGCAUCCAUGAAACUUGGCUGGCUAAAUUGUUAGCUUUCCAGUAGCUAUUAUGAAAUCUCAGGCCCUUUGUGAUUAUUUUUUUGUUUGUUGGUUUGGGUUUUGUACAUAUUUAUGGGGUACAUGUGACAUUGUGUCACAUGCGUAGAAUGUGUACUUCUACUUCAGGAUGUUUAGGAGAUCCAUCACCAUAAACUUUACCAUUUCUAUGUGUUGAGAACAUUUCAAGUUCUCACUUCUAGCUACAAUACAUUGUUGUUAACUGUAGUCACCUUACUCUACAAUUGAAUAUUACUGCUUAUUCCUUCUGUAUAACUGUAUGUUUGUACCCAUUAAUCAAUCUGUCUUCAUCUACACAUCUAAAUCCUUCCCAGUCUCUUGUCACCACCAUUUGAUUUUCCACCUCCAUGAGAUCCAUAUUUUAAGCUCCCACAUAUAAGUGAGUACAUGCAAUAUUUAUUUCUGUGUCUGGCUUAUUUAACUUGAUAUAAUGACCUACAGUUCCAUCUAUGUUGCUGUAAAUGACAUGAUUUCAUUCUUUUUUUGGACAAAUAGUAUUCCAUUGCAUAAAUAAA